CAGCGCAAGUCAUCCUCACACCUUCCAGCAGAAGUCGCCUGGACUACCGCGGCCUCCAAUUCAGCCUCCCGGAUCUUACCUCUAGCUUUCAAGGAGACUGACAAAGGUGCGGUGCUCCCACGGUUGCCCCUCCCCUGCCUGGUCCACCUCUGGUUCUCUUCGGAGUCGGUGGCUCCGGCUGGCCAGUCGUGGAUCUCAGAGGCCGUGGCAUGCACCAGGGAAACCAGGCCGCAGGGACCACCAGCUGUACCUGCCAGUCUUCUGCGCCCGCUUUGCAUUCAGCGGCAGGCAGCUUCGGCUUGGUGAAUUCUGCGCUGGCCUUCGGGACCCCCUGGCUGUACAAGAAACAAGGCACCAGAACCUGCCUCUGGUGAGGAGCUCGGGAAGCUUCCAAUCAUGGCGGAGGAGGAGGCGUCUUACCUGGCGACACAGGGAGCAAGAGAGAGAGGAAAGGGGUGCCACUGUCUUUUAAACAAAGAGCUAUUUUUUGAACUAAUAGAGCAAGAACUCAUUCAUUACCUUGUGGGGGCACCAAGCCAUUCAUAAGGGAUCCACCUCGAUGACCCAGACACCUCCCACUCAGCCUCACCUGCAACACUGAAGAUCAAAUUCCAGCAAAGAUUUGGAGGAGACCAAAUAUUCAAACCAUAGCCACAUGAGGGAUGUGUGUAUGAUUAUAUGCAGAUUCCAAUAAAUCAGGAUUGAAG
rnacentral:lncRNA from 1 species